rnacentral:rRNA from 1 species
GGGACACGUGGUAUCCUGUCUGAAUAUGGGGGGACCAUCCUCCAAGGCUAAAUACUCCUGACUGACCGAUAGUGAACCAGUACCGUGAGGGAAAGGCGAAAAGAACCCCGGCGAGGGGAGUGAAAAAGAACCUGAAACCGUGUACGUACAAGCAGUGGGAGCACGCUUAGGCGUGUGACUGCGUACCUUUUGUAUAAUGGGUCAGCGACUUAUAUUCUGUAGCAAGGUUAACCGAAUAGGGGAGCCGAAGGGAAACCGAGUCUUAACUGGGCGUUAAGUUGCAGGGUAUAGACCCGAAACCCGGUGAUCUAGCCAUGGGCAGGUUGAAGGUUGGGUAACACUAACUGGAGGACCGAACCGACUAAUGUUGAAAAAUUAGCGGAUGACUUGUGGCUGGGGGUGAAAGGCCAAUCAAACCGGGAGAUAGCUGGUUCUCCCCGAAAGCUAUUUAGGUAGCGCCUCGUGAAUUCAUCUCCGGGGGUAGAGCACUGUUUCGGCAAGGGGGUCAUCCCGACUUACCAACCCGAUGCAAACUACGAAUACCGGAGAAUGUUAUCACGGGAGACACACGGCGGGUGCUAACGUCCGUCGUGAAGAGGGAAACAACCCAGACCGCCAGCUAAGGUCCCAAAGUCAUGGUUAAGUGGGAAACGAUGUGGGAAGGCCCAGACAGCCAGGAUGUUGGCUUAGAAGCAGCCAUCAUUUAAAGAAAGCGUAAUAGCUCACUGGUCGAGUCGGCCUGCGCGGAAGAUGUAACGGGGCUAAACCAUGCACCGAAGCUGCGGCAGCGACGCUGAUGCGUUGUUGGGUAGGGGAGCGUUCUGUAAGCCUGCGAAGGUGUGCUGUGAGGCAUGCUGGAGGUAUCAGAAGUGCGAAUGCUGACAUAAGUAACGAUAAAGCGGGUGAAAAGCCCGCUCGCCGGAAGACCAAGGGUUCCUGUCCAACGUUAAUCGGGGCAGGGUGAGUCGACCCCUAAGGCGAGGCCGAAAGGCGUAGUCGAUGGGAAACAGGUUAAUAUUCCUGUACUUGGUGUUACUGCGAAGGGGGGACGGAGAAGGCUAUGUUGGCCGGGCGACGGUUGUCCCGGUUUAAGCGUGUAGGCUGGUUUUCCAGGCAAAUCCGGAAAAUCAAGGCUGAGGCGUGAUGACGAGGCACUACGGUGCUGAAGCAACAAAUGCCCUGCUUCCAGGAAAAGCCUCUAAGCAUCAGGUAACAUCAAAUCGUACCCCAAACCGACACAGGUGGUCAGGUAGAGAAUACCAAGGCGCUUGAGAGAACUCGGGUGAAGGAACUAGGCAAAAUGGUGCCGUAACUUCGGGAGAAGGCACGCUGAUAUGUAGGUGAAGUCCCUCGCGG